CCUGGCGACCAGAGCAAGUGGGUACCACCUGAUCCCAUCCCGAACUCAGAAGUGAAACCAUUUAGCGCCUAUGAUAGUGUGGUUUUAACUACGCAAAAGUCGGUCAUCGCCAGGCUCUAAUUCGAAAAAACCCCGGCUGAUUAACUCAACCGGGGUUUUUUGUUUUAUGGGUCCACCGCUGCCAAAGUUUAUCGCCUGGCGGACACGCCUGCCAUAUAAAAACCUGUCAUCGCUGUAAUGGUUUGAUCUUUAUCUGGACUUGACCAUUUUUGAAAAGCAUUCACAAAACUGUCAUCCUGAGCGAAGCGAAGGAUCUCCUUUUGUUAUCGGGAGAUCCUUCGAGCAAAAAAUGCUCUCAGGAUGACAGCAUUAUUGAGUAUUUUGUAAAUUGCCCAAAGCCCAGUUUAUGAGAUGUUAUUACAAUGCUUCCCAACAACCAGCGCCGAAAAACCUGGAUUGCUUCCGUUACGCUCGCAAUGAAGUUCAACCGGCCGUCUAAUCUAU
rnacentral:rRNA from 1 species